CCUGAACAAAAUUCACCUACAUUAACCAACUGCGUACAGAGAAAAACAGCCUACAAAGCGCAGACAGGUGCAAAGAUCUCUGCCUCCAUUCUUUCUGUGCUUCCUCCCUCUCCGAGACAGACCCAGCCCCCUCUGGUCAAGACCGCAUCUCCUCCUAUCUCCUGCGGAUCUGGCUCCAUCACAGAUGGGAACAGGAGGCACUGAGCAGUUGAGUAUUUGCCCUGGUCACAUCGAAUCAGGAUUAGGGCAAAGGCACUCUGGCUCCAAAGCCUGAAUGUUCUUCUGCUUUGUACCAACGCAAGGUGCCUUGAAGGAAAAAGCACAGGAGAAGACGGCGUGGACGUGUCCCAUGCAUUCAUGCAUUCAUUUGUUGAUUAUUUAGCACUUACUGAGGGUCUACCGUGUGCAAGGCAGAGGGAUAAAGACACACAUCUGCCAUUAAGAUGCUCAGAACCCAAGGAGGGAGGAGCCAGUAACGUGUCGUGAAAGAGCUCUGGUAAGCAGCGGGCGGGAGCUGGGGAGGCACGCAAGAAGCAGCUUGCUUUGCUUAAAGCAGAGGUUCCCAGUCUUCACUAUGCAUUGGAAUCACCUAAGACCUUUGACAACCACUGAUGCCUGGCUCCCAACCCUAGACUUUAGGAUUUAAUUGGCACUGGGAGUUUUUAAAGCUCCCCAGGCAAUUCUAAGGUUUGGCAAAAUUUG
rnacentral:lncRNA from 1 species